CCUCUGAUACAAGCUUUCGCCUUAAGAUGAGCCCAUGGCCCAUCAGCUAGUUGGUAGGGUAAAGGCCUACCAAGGCUACGACGGGUCGCUGGUCUGAGAGGACGACCAGCCACACUGGCACUGAGAUACGGGCCAGACUCCUACGGGAGGCAGCAGUGAGGAAUAUUGCGCAAUGGGGGAAACCCUGACGCAGCAACGCCGCGUGUGGGAAGAAGGCCUUCGGGUCGUAAACCACUUUUGCACGGGACGAAAAAGGGAUAUCGAACAAAUAUCCCCGAUGACGGUACCGUGAGAAUAAGCCACGGCUAACUCUGUGCCAGCAGCCGCGGUAAGACA
rnacentral:rRNA from 1 species